GACGGAGGGGGCUAGCGUUGUUCGGAAUUACUGGGCGUAAAGCGUGCGCAGGCGGUUCGUUGUGUCGGCGGUGAAAGCCCCGGGCUCAACCUGGGAAUGGCCGUUGAAACUGGCGAACUGGAGUGUGGCAGAGGGGGGUGGAAUUCCGCGUGUAGCAGUGAAAUGCGUAGAGAUGCGGAGGAACACCGAUGGCGAAGGCAGCCCCCUGGGCUGACACUGACGCUCAGGCACGAAAGCGUGGGGAGCAAACAGG
rnacentral:rRNA from 1 species